CGGCAAGAUGGACUCAUAUGUACACUUCGUGUGUUAAUUUAACACUGGGGAUUUUGCUGUGUGGUCACUGACAUUCUUCAAAAUAUCUUCUUUUGUGUUCAACAGAAGAAAGAAAUUUAUACAGGUUUGGAAGAUCCUUGGAACUUGAGGGUGUAUAGAUCUUGCGGUGACAGUAAAUCACACCAACAGCAGCUGCAGCCAGCAGCAGAACAACAACAACAGCAACACUUAUUCCUGCUACAGCACCUGAACACAAACCUGAAUCUUUACAGUAACACUGAAUCUCCUGAUGCUGCUGAUGCUGAGGUGGCGAUGGGGAAUGUUGCUGCUGGUGAUCAGUACCUGAUAUUCUCCAGAGUCAGUGUUUCUGGUGGUUAUGAUGGUCAGUGAUCCAGUCUGAUGAUCCAG